rnacentral:rRNA from 1 species
CUGGCGGCGUGCUAACACAUGCAAGUCGAACGGGGAUUAGUGAUAGAGAGCUCGGCAGGAAAUUGAUUAAUCGAGUGGCGGACGGGUGAGUAACGCGUGAGCAACCUGUCCCAGACAGGGGGAUAACACUUGGAAACAGGUGCUAAUACCGCAUAAGACCACGGGAUCACAUGGUUCCGGGGUAAAAGGAGCAAUCCGGUUUGGGGUGGGCUCGCGUCCGAUUAGCCAGUUGGCGGGGUAACGGCCCACCAAAGCGACGAUCGGUAGCCGACCUGAGAGGGUGAACGGCCACAUUGGAACUGAGAGACGGUCCAAACUCCUACGGGAGGCAGCAGUGGGGAAUAUUGGGCAAUGGGCGAAAGCCUGACCCAGCAACGCCGCGUGAGUGAAGAAGGCCUUCGGGUUGUAAAGCUCUGUUAUAGUUGACGAAGGAAGUGACGGUAGGCUAUAAGGAAGCCCCGGCUAACUACGUGCCAGCCGCAGC